rnacentral:rRNA from 1 species
UACGUAGGGACCGAGCGUUGUCCGGAUUCAUUGGGCGUAAAGAGCUCGUAGGCGGUUUGUCGCGUCGAAUGUGAAAACCCGGGGCUCAACCCCGGGCCUGCAUUCGAUACGGGCAGACUAGAGUUCGGUAGGGGAGUCUGGAAUUCCUGGUGUAGCGGUGAAAUGCGUAGAUAUCUGGAGGAAUACCGGUGGCGAAGGCGGCAUCCUGGACCGACAUUGACGCUGAACGGCGAAAGCUAGGGGAGCAAACGGG